AAAGCCCCAAAUUUUGAAGUACAACUGUUAUCAUUUCGUAUUAUGUGGGUAAAAAGAUUUUUGUCAGAACAUGACUCCAAAUGGAAACAUGUUUCCAAAGCAUUUUUCUCCCUUUUUGAUUUAGAGGAUUUAUUUAUGAGCAGAUGUGAAUUUGAGUUUUUAAAUUUAAAAGCACCUCUUUUUUAUAUAGAAGUGUUAUCUGCCUGGAAACGUUUCAAGGGUAUAUUCAUCCCGUUAAAUACAUUUCAUGUUAGAAAAGAAUUUAUUUGGUUCAAUCCGUUUAUCAAAGUUGACAGAACGAGUAUUUUUUACAGAUCUUGGUACAUGAAAGGCAUACGGUUCAUCAAUGAUAUUGUAGAUGAUAAAGGCGAAUUUUUGUCUCAUGAUGCUAUUAAUAAAAAAUAUAACCUGAAUGUUACUUUUGUAGACAUUCUAUCUAUUAAACUUGCUAUACCACGUGACUGGAAAGAUUUGUUAUUACAACAACACAUGUCGCCUAACAGCAACUCAUUUGGUUUCGUUUUUGAGCAUGAGAAUAAAAAAAUGCCUAUCAGUAAAUUAUUCGCUAAAGAUGUAUAUUCACUUUUUAUCGAUCGGGGAAGUGUUUCUCCUAUUUCACAAAAAAGGUGGGAAGAAAGUUUAAAUAUAGAAAUUAGUGACGAAAAGUGGAAAAAUAUUUAUUCACUAGCUUUUAAAUGUACUAUAGAAAGCAAACUACAAGCUUUCCAAUAUAAAUUGUUACACAGAAUAGUCUCACAUAAUUAUCUUCUUGAAAAAUAUAAACUUUCAUUAACCAAUGAAUGUGCCAGUUGUAAAGGAAUAGAAACUAUAGAGCAUAAAUUUUUUGAAUGUACAGAAAUAAAACGAUUUUGGAGAGAAUUUUCUAAUUGGUGGUAUUUAGUAUUUGGAGUAAAAAUAUUUUUAAAUAAAGACAGUGUAAUUUUCGGUGUAUUAAAUUCUGAUAACAUAGUUUUAAAUUAUUGUAUUCUACAGGCAAAGUAUUACAUCAACUGUGCUAAGAACACACAAUUAGACAGACUGUUAAUAUCAGUGCAAGCGUUUCUUAAAUUUUUGAAAAGAAGGCUGGAGAUAUUAGAAUAUUUAUAUCUUUCUAAAGACAAAUACGAGUCAUUUGUCGACAUAUGUGGA
rnacentral:lncRNA from 1 species